rnacentral:rRNA from 1 species
CCCGCACAAGCAGCGGAGCGUGUGGUUUAAUUCGAUGCUACGCGAAGACCUUACCGGGUUUGACAUACAGGUGGUAGGGAACUGAAAGGGACCGACCCUUCGGGAGCCUGAACAGGUGCUGCAUGGCUGUCGUCAGCUCGUGUCGUGAGAUGUCCGGUUAAGUCCGGUAACGAGCGCAACCCUUGCUGUAUGUUACAAGUGUCAUACGGGACUGCCGGUAUCAAGCCGGAGGAAGUGGGAUGACGUCAAGUCAGCAUGGCCUUUAUAUCCGGGGCUACACACACGCUACAAUGGUCAGUACAAUAGGUUGCAAAGCCGCGAGGUGGAGCCAAUCCCAAAAGCUGGCCUCAGUUCAGAUUGCAGGCUGCAACCCGCCUGCAUGAAGUUGGAGUUGCUAGUAACCGCGCGUCAGCCAUAGUGCGGUCGAAUACGUUCCCGGGCCUU